rnacentral:rRNA from 1 species
AUGCCUUAGUAGCGGCGAGUGAGCGGCAAAAGCUCAAAUUUGAAAUCUGGCGCUUUCAGUGUCCGAGUUGUAAUUUGAAGAAGGUAUCUUUGGGUCUGGCUCUUGUCUAUGUUUCUUGGAACAGAACGUCACAGAGGGUGAGAAUCCCGUGCGAUGAGAUGACCCAGACCUAUGUAAAGUUCCUUCGAAGAGUCGAGUUGUUUGGGAAUGCAGCUCUAAGUGGGUGGUAAAUUCCAUCUAAAGCUAAAUAUUGGCGAGAGACCGAUAGCGAACAAGUACAGUGAUGGAAAGAUGAAAAGAACUUUGAAAAGAGAGUGAAAAAGUACGUGAAAUUGUUGAAAGGGAAGGGCUUGAGAUCAGACUUGGUAUUUUGUAUGUUACUCUUUCGGGGGUGGCCUCUACAGUUUACCGGGCCAGCAUCAGUUUGGGCGGUAGGAGAAUUGCAAAGAAAUGUGGCACUGCCUCGGUAGUGUGUUAUAGUCUUUGUCGAUACUGCCAGCCUAGACUGAGGACUGCGGCUUCGGCCUAGGAUGUUGGCAUAAUGAUCUUAAGUCGCCCGUCUUG